AACGGCGUCGAGNGNCGGACGGGUGAGUAAUGCCUAGGAAAUUGCCUUGAUGUGGGGGAUAACCAUUGGAAACGAUGGCUAAUACCGCAUAAUGCCUACGGGCCAAAGAGGGGGACCUUCGGGCCUCUCGCGUCAAGAUAUGCCUAGGUGGGAUUAGCUAGUUGGUGAGGUAAUGGCUCACCAAGGCGACGAUCCCUAGCUGGUCUGAGAGGAUGAUCAGCCACACUGGAACUGAGACACGGUCCAGACUCCUACGGGAGGCAGCAGUGGGGAAUAUUGCACAAUGGGCGAAAGCCUGAUGCAGCCAUGCCGCGUGUAUGAAGAAGGCCUUCGGGUUGUAAAGUACUUUCAGUUGUGAGGAAGGGGGUGUCGUUAAUAGCGGCAUCUCUUGACGUUAGCAACAGAAGAAGCACCGGCUAACUCCGUGCCAGCAGCCGCGGUAAUACGGAGGGUGCGAGCGUUAAUCGGAAUUACUGGGCGUAAAGCGCAUGCAGGUGGUUCAUUAAGUCAGAUGUGAAAGCCCGGGGCUCAACCUCGGAACUGCAUUUGAAACUGGUGAACUAGAGUACUGUAGAGGGGGGUAGAAUUUCAGGUGUAGCGGUGAAAUGCGUAGAGAUCUGAAGGAAUACCAGUGGCGAAGGCGGCCCCCUNNNAGAUACUGACACUCAGAUGCGAAAGCGUGGGGAGCAAACAGGAUUAGAUACCCUNNAGUCCACGCCGUAAACGAUGUCUACUUG
rnacentral:rRNA from 1 species